rnacentral:rRNA from 1 species
GACGAACGCUGGCGGCGUGCCUAAUACAUGCAAGUAGAACGCUGAAGGAGGAGCUUGCUCUUCUGGAUGAUUUGCGAACGGGUGAGUAACGCGUAGGUAACCUGCCUGGUAGCGGGGGAUAACUAUUGGAAACGAUAGCUAAUACCGCAUAACAGUAGAUGUUGCAUGACAUUUACUUAAAAGGUGCAAUUUCAUCACUACCAGAUGGACCUGCGUUGUAUUAGCUAGUUGGUGGGGUAACGGCUCACCACGGCGACGAUACAUAGCCGACCUGAGAGGGGGAUCGGCCACACUGGGACUGAGACACCGCCCAGAAUCCUAAGGGAGGCAGCAGGAGGGAAUCUUCGGCAAUGGACGGAAGUCUGAACGAGCAAAGCCGCGGGAGUGAAGAAGGGUUUCGGAUCGUAAAGCUCGGUUGUAAGAGAAGAACGAGUGUGAGAGUGGAAAGUUCACACUGUGACGGUAGCUUAACAGAAAGGGACGGCUAACUACGUG